ensembl:rRNA 5S_rRNA 5S ribosomal RNA
GCCUACGACCAUAUCACCCUGAAUGCGCCCGAUCUCGUCUGAUCUCGGAAGCUAAGCAUGUUCGACCCUGGUUAGUACUUGGAUGGGAGACUGUCUGGGAAUACCAGGUGUUGUAGGCU